GACCCCGCCCCGUCCCGCCCCGCCAUCUAGGCCGCAGCAGCUGAGCCUCCCGGUAUCGCUGAUCCCCCAAAUUUCCGGUUCCCCAAAGACAACUCAGGAUGUGGGGAGGGAGGGGCAGGGAGAGGAGAGCGAGAUCAGAGACAGGCGCGGGGAGAAGGGAGACGGCAGCCGCGACAGAAAGGCAGAAGGACAAAGACGACAGUCGGACAAAGAAGACACGAAGCUGAUUUGACGGCACACACUUGUCACCCCAGCUACUCAGGAGGCUGAGGCAGGAGGAUCGCGAGUUCUAGCCCAACCUGGCAACAUAGGGAGACCUCGUCUCGACACUAAAGACGAAAAGUCUAGGGAUGUAGCUCAGCGCGAAGGCCCGGGGCUGGGUCCCGAAUGGCAAACAAACAUGGACGCGAGGCAGAGACAAGAGUCGGGAAGGAGAGGGACGUGAGACAGAGGCGGAGGCAGGGAGGCCAAAACUGAAAGCACAGGUGGAAGAGGCCGAGCGAGGGGUGGGCGUGCGGGGUGCGGAGGGACCCGGAAACAGGAGCCGCGGCCGCGAGCAGGUGGGCGUGCGGCUCGGGCCCGGGCCACCCCGGACAGCCUGGCCUGCAGACGGGCCGCUGGGAAGAGCGCGGCGGGCACAGGGCGGGGGCUCGCGGGCGCCGGGGGAGCGACUCACGGCGGCCUUGAGUCAGGCGCCUUCAUUCGGAAACCACAGAAGCAGCCGCCGCGGAGCCGGAGCCGAGCUGAGCCGAGCCGAAACCGGAGCCGAGCCGAGCCGAGCCGAGCCGGGGCCCGCAGGCCCGCGGGGCUGAGCGGCUCUCGAGGACCCAGCUUCAGGAUCCAGGGCCUCCCCUCCCCCUUCUCAGGCCCGGCCCUUCUCCGCGGCGGGGGCAGCUCCUGGCUCUGCCUCGGCGCCAGCCUCCUUCCUGAGGCCUGGCGAGACCCCCGCCCCACGCAGAAGCCCCCUCCACCCGCUUCCCUUUUGUUCCGCUGUCUCCAUCUCUGCGUUGGCGCCGGCUUCGAAUCCUCCCUCCACCUCAGAGUGAGCUGCACUUCCUUAAGGACUUGGGCACCUGCUGUGUGACCGUAGGCAAAUCAUUUACCACUCUGAUCCUGCUCCCUGGUCUCCGUACCUGAGGACAGCUGCGUACUGGAGAUGGAACCGAUCCGCACACCACUCCCUCUUUUGGGACAGGUUCUCUUUAAAUUGCUAAGUUGCCCAGGCGGGGCUUGGGCAGGAAACUCUCCUGUCUCAGCCUCCCAGAGUGCUAGAAUUACAGGCACGCCCCACCACAGCAGCACGGUGUCCUCCCGGCCAGUGAUUGGCUCAGUGGAGCCACGUGCCUCAAGCCGGCCCAGUGGGCGACUUCGGGGCUCUCCGGGUGCUGGGGCUCCCCGGGUGCUAGGGCUCCUGAUCCGCGUUACCUGGGGAACCUGGAAGGGUGCGCCCCGAACCGCCUCCGCGUACACAGGGGUCUCCUUGCUUAUUCAGGUUCCACUGAAAGAGCAAGGCCGGGGCGGGCGGGGCCCGGGUGCCAGCCCAGGUGCCCCCGCCGGUUGCCUCCCCUUCCUCGCGUCCCGCCCCACCACCGCCCUCUGGGACCCUCCUCCCACGAAACCCAAGAAACCCAAGUCCGCAAGUCCGCGAGCGCUGGCUUUGAGGAGCACCCGGAUGUCCCAGUGUCUUCCCAGCAGCCCCCGAGAGUUCUCUGCCGCCCACCUCCCCCCACUUUCUCCAGCGCGGGACCUCCCAGCCCACAGCCGGGCCACCCUGUGGAUUACACCAACAACCUCCUGCUGACCUCCCUUCCUCCCUGCCCUCCUCACUGACCCUCCCAGCAGCCACUCAAGAGAUAUUUGCCAAAACACGAAUCUGACCUCAUCAUGCUUGGCUCUGAAGCCUCCAGGGGCGGCCCGUGGGUCCCGGGAUAGUUUCCAUGCCCGCUCACCCCGAUCUCUGGCCUUUCUCACCUCUGCGCCUUCUCCAAUCUCACAACAUGCAACAUCUGCUAGUUCUUCAGAGGCACCUCAGGACCUUUGCAUGUGCCAGACAGCUCAGCCACCUGGCUGGCACAAAGCAACCAGUGACUUUGGGCUUUGCUCACUCUCUGCUAAAGUAGCCUACUCCACAUCUUGUGUCCCCACCCAUUCCCUCCUGGGGCCUUGAUCUCAGUUAUUUUGAAAUCAUUCAGAUCUAUGCUUGAAGAGCCAGGUGUGGUGGUGCACACACCUGUAAUCCCAGCACUUCAGAGGCUGAGGCAGGCAGAUCAUUGUAAAUUUGAGGCCACCCUGGGCUACCCAGCAAGACUGUCUCAAAAAGAAAAGAAAAAAACAAUCUGGGGAUGGCACACACCUGUGGUCUCAGCCCUUGGGAGAAUCACCCUAAAUUCAAGGCCAGCCUGGACUCCAUUGUGAGUCCCCGUCUCAAAAACCCAAAUAAGGAAAUAAAUAAAAUUUUGAAAAUAAACACUCAUAGCUCCCUCUUGCCAUUGCACUUGUUUUUGUUUUUGUUUUUAGUACCGGGGAUCAAACUCAGGACCUUGUGCUUUCGAGGUAGGCGCAGGAACCAUGAGCUAAAUCCCUGGCCCCAUUGCACUUUUUUUAAAAUAUUUAUUUAUUUAUUUAUUUAUUAGGGGCCAGUACUGAGGACUGAACCAGGGCAUUCGCACUGAGCCACAUCCCCAGCCCAUUCUUUAUUUUGGGACCAGGUCUCACUAAGUUGCUAAAUUGCCCAGGCUGGUCUCAACCUUGC
rnacentral:lncRNA from 1 species